rnacentral:tRNA from 1 species
GGUCAUAGCUCAGUGGUAAAGAAUCUGCCUUGCAUGCAGGAGGUCCCAGGUUCAGUCUCUGCCAUCUCCA